rnacentral:rRNA from 1 species
CCUACGGGAGGCAGCAGUGAGGAAUAUUGGUCAAUGGACGCGAGUCUGAACCAGCCAAGUAGCGUGAAGGAUGACUGCUCUAGGGGUUGUAACCUUCUUUUAUAUGGGAGUAAAAUGUUCGAUGCGUGUUAUUUUGUCUGUACCUUAUGACUUAGGAUCGGCUAACUCCGUGCCAGCAGCCGCGGUAAUACGGAGGUUGCGAGCGUUAUACGGAUUUAUUGGGUUGAAAGGGUGUGUAGGUGGUUAAACAAGUCAGCGGUGAAAGUUUGUGGCUCAACCAUAGAAUUGCAGUUGAAACUGGUUGACUUGAGUAUAGUAGAGGUAGGCGGAAUGCGUGGUGUAGCGGUGAAAUGCAUAGAUAUAAGGCAGAACACCAGUUGCGAAGGCGGAUGACUAGACGAUAACUGACAGUGAGGCGCGAAAGCGUGGGGAGCAAACAGGAUUAGAUACCCUGGUAGUC